rnacentral:rRNA from 1 species
UACGAAGGGGGCUAGCGUUGCUCGGAAUCACUGGGCGUAAAGCGCACGUAGGCGGAUCUUUAAGUCAGGGGUGAAAUCCUGGAGCUCAACUCCAGAACUGCCUUUGAUACUGAGGAUCUUGAGUUCGGGAGAGGUGAGUGGAACUGCGAGUGUAGAGGUGAAAUUCGUAGAUAUUCGCAAGAACACCAGUGGCGAAGGCGGCUCACUGGCCCGAUACUGACGCUGAGGCACGAAAGCGUGGGGAGCAGACAGG